UCGCGCACUCUCCUCUCGGCUCUCCUUUUGCUCUCUUGGCGAUCUCGUCUUUCUGCGAAGGUCGGAGCUGCUCUCCGACGAAAGGACAAAGCUUCGAACGAUCGUCGGCUGGGAGUGAGCGUCCUCUCCUCCGAUUUAGGGGAGAAUUUAGAUUCUUGUCGUGGUGAUCUCAUUCCUUUACCUUUGCUUGAGGUUUCGUUUCGCUUCGCUCUCGAAAUUUUUUAGGGUUCAAGAUAUUGUUGAAUUUUGAUGAUUUGGCGUCGUUUUGAUUGAUAUACUUGACAAUUUCGGUGACCAAAAAUCAGAAAAUUUGUUGUUCUCGGGGUUCUCUUUGAUCAAUUCUUCGUUAUCGAUCGUCUGGGUUUUCAAGUUUCUUUUGGGAAGUUCGAUCUUUCUGGUUUUCUUGAUCGUCUCUCGUCACCUCGGCGUUUCUCGUUCUGGUUUCGAUUCGCAAGAUGGCUUCUUCUCGUUCCAGGCGUGUGGAGUACGACCGCUUCAUCCCGUUCCGAUCGGCGAUGGACAUGGACUUCGCGCGCUGUGCUCUAACCAUGCCUUCCAGACCGCAGCGUGAUGGUUCGAUAGAAUCCCCAUCGAGUGUGGCGUACCAAAAACUUCUUGUUCAAUGUAUUUUGAAGAACAGAUCUCGCAUCUUCGCAUUCAAGAGUGCACCCGAAUCACCGGCCGACAAGGUGUCCCAAUUUGACGAGGACAAUCGACCGCACAAGAAGCAACAGAGGCGAAUCCCAAAAGAUGCAGAUAGGGUUUUGGCUGCUUAUGAUAUCUUAGAUGAUGAUAGGUUGAAUCUACUCGACUGGGGAAGCAAUAACGUGUUGGCGAUUGGCCUCAAUGACAAAGUGUGCCUACGGAAUGCUGCGAAUAAGUCUAGUACGGAGUUUUCACGAGCCCUAGAAGACAACAGCCCUGUCACUAGCAUCAGCUGGUCCCCAGACGGCAAAGUUCUAGCUGUGGCAUUAGGCAAUUCAGAUUUAGAUCUGGUUGAUGCAGCAACAAGACGUGUGUUGGUUGGGAUCCAACGUGACAGCCACUCCUUUGUUUGUUCACUUGCGUGGAGAAGUAAUGCAAUCUUGACGAUCGGGAGAUCCGAUGGUAGUAUUAUUGAUUAUGACAUUAGAAAAGAUGAUCGGGCCAUCUGUGACUAUAGAGGGCAUCGACUAGAAGUUUGUAGUCUUAAAUGAUUCAAGUUGUUUGGGCAGUAUCUGGCAAGCGGAGGGAAGGACAAACUUGUGCACAUAUGGGACACCCGCAUGGCUAUUGCAAAUCACCAUCCGCGCCAACAUCAAUUGCUUCACAAGAUCAGCAACCACACUUCCACUGUGAGGGCCCUUGAUUGGUGCCCUACCAGGAGCAAUCUGCUGGCUUCUGGUGGAGGACGCAAUGAUCAUUGCAUUAAGUUUUGGAAUGCUGUUAAUGGUGUUUGCUUGAACUCGAUUGAUACCGGCUCUGAAGUUUGUGCAUUGUUGUGGGACAAGAACAAAUCUGAAUUGCUGACCUCCCAUGGGUUUCCAAACAAUCAACUCACCCUGUGGAAUUACAUAUCCAUGACGAGAAAAGCUGAGCUUUUUGGUCAUUCAUCUCGUGUUCUUUACUUGGCUGGGAACCCAUUGGGAGGUGUAGUAGCUUCUGCAGCAAAAGAUAAGACACUCAAGUUCUGGAAUGUCUUUGAGACUCCCAAACCACCAAAACCUGAAGCAAACACUGUGCCCUUUGCCCAAUUUAAUGUCAUAAGAUGAAAAUGCUGAUGGUUGGAAAAGACUACGAGAGUAAUACGGAAAACUUUUUUAGUGCUUGACAAGAAGAUCCAUUGUUGAUAGCGUUGCAUAGAGCAGUUUGUGGCAUCAAAGAGGCAACAUAUUUUCAUACAAGUAUUAUACAUUUAAGAUCUUCAGAUACGAGUGCAAGCGCCUAAGUUAAGAUUUUUCUUGCUGAUUAGCUGUUGCAUUGUAGCAGACUAGUAGCAAUCUUCAUGAGAUUGUUAGAGAAGCUUGCUAAGUUUCAUACAAAUGCUCACCAACUAAUGACAUGGCUAGUAUUUUGAAUUAUGCUGUUGCAGUCAUCUAUCACGAGUUUCAGCAUCCACGUGCUGUAGUUUGAAUCUGCUACUUGUGAGUAUAAAACUGACUUCUGAAUUGGUAUUUCUUCAUGCCACCUUCCCUGUUUAUUUAAGGAGAAUAAGCUAUCAGCAGCUGUUGUGAUUAUUGAUUUUAAUUCCUAAUAUCAUAUAUGUAAAAGGUUUAAAUUGACAUGAUAAUUCCAGUUGAAACAUUUAAGUGAUUGUUUUUUUGAGUCAUUUAAUUGACAUGCUUAUUUUGGCCCAAUUGUGUGGCUUUGACCAUUCUAGUUAGUUUAGCUUGAAGAUUUUAACCUAACAAAGCUAAUCUCAGAUCUGAAAUCAAAAGUGGCAUCAGGUCCAGUAUUUCCUGUUUGAUUGAGCUCAAAUUGGAGCAUUAGUAAACUCCACAGUUCUUCCUAUCUGUCAUGUCCAUCCUUGUCUAGCUUUAUUGAUUAGGAAUUUUGCUACAUAGUUACUUAAUGCUAACCAGAUUUAGUUUUUCUUUCAUAUCAAAUUUUGUGUUGUUCAUGAGUUGAUAUGCAACAUGAUGUGUACUUCUUUUUGUCAACUUGGUAAUCAUAUCAGUGCAGGCCCCAUUUGUUUUCAGUUUUAUACAAUAGAUUUGCCUAACAUCUUUUGAUUACAAUCACCGUGAUGAUUAAGUUUCACAAAUCAAGCAUUUGUUAACUGUUUUAGAUUUGUGAUGCUUUAGAUUUUCCUAACAUCGCAGAUAAUUUCACUUGCAACAACUUUCUUAUAGACCGCCAUUUGUGAUACUUUAGUCAUAUGUUGAGGCUUAUCUUUCUUUUAUUUUAUGAUCAAGGCACAUUCUUUUUUUUGUACAUUCAGGGAGAAAGAGACCCGGAGCAUUGAUGCUUCACUUAUUAGAAUUUGAUAAUCAGGUUUGAGUAUCUUUUUUUGUUGAAGCUAUUAUAUUAGCCCUUUACUAGAGAAUAUCUCUAGUGGUUUCUCAAAUUUGAUUAUUGAAAAGUCUAGUUUUUUACUUGCUCUUCUGGCUUGCCUCUUAACAUUCUGAAAUCUUGCUUGUGAAUUAUUGACAAUUACCAAGGUCUGUCGUACCGAAGUGUACCGCCCCGUACCGGGCGGUACGUACCGGUCCGAUAGGUUAUCGGUACGCGGACUGUCCGGUACCGCUACAGUGCUACAGUACUAUAGUGUAGCACUACUACAGUGCUACAGUAAUACACUAUAGCACUGCUAUAGUAUGAAAAAAAUAAAAAAAUAUUCGAUGCACCAGGGCGUACCGCUCGGUACACCCUGAUGUACCACUCGGUAAACCGGUACUGUACCAUACCGAGCCCGGGUCGAAACGCCGGUAUAGUACGGUACAGCGAACCUUGACAAUUACUAUAUAGGAAUUGUGACUUCUGUCAGUCUUUCUGUUAAGAAAGAAAAAAGAGACAUUAUCUCACUCUUGAAUUGCAUCCUAGAUAUUCUUUUAUCACAUAUCAUUCAUGAAUAAUAUUUUUAGACACAUUUCAAUUUCUUUAGCCUUUGGUUUUUCUCUUUUAUUUGUGUGUUUUUCACUUUGCACUUUUCUGACAAAAUAUAUUUCAAACUGAUAUUUAGAUCAUUUUGUCAUCAUUUUAAAACUAAAGAAUUUUCAUAUUAAGAAUAUAGGUUUGUCUAGAGGAAGCCUACCUUGUUGGAGUUGAAUGUAAAGGCACUGAAUAUAUAAUUCAUUUGCUGUUGAUGAAUCACUUGAAGAAUUUGCACAAUUAGCUCAUGCUGUUACACUUAUCGAAAGUAUGUUUCUAUUUCCCCUAUUGAACAUGAUGCAGCUAAUAGUUCUAUGGUUGCUCUAAGUAUGCAUUUCUAGAGGUCUAGAAUCUAGUGGUAUAUUAUUGCUUUGGCUGUCAUUGAAUGAUAAAAUUCAGAACAUAUAUCUUUCUAUCAUUAGUAAACUCUACAGUUCUUCCUAUGUAUCAUGUCCAUCCUUGUCUAGCUUUAUUGAAUAGGAAUUUUGCUACAUAGUUUUAUUUGAUGCUAACCAGAUUCAGUUUUUCUUUCAUAUCAAAUUUGUGUUGCUCAUGAGUUGAUAUGCAAUGUGAUGUACAUCUUUAUGUCAACUUAGUAAUCAUAUCAGUGCAGGCCUCACUUGUUUUCAGUUUUGUACAAUAGAUUUUCCUAACAUCUUUUGAUUAUAAUCACCAUGAUGAUUAAGUUAGCAAAUUGCAUCAUGGUUCGUGCUACGCAGAUAAUUUCACCUGCAGCAACUUUCUUAUAGACUGCCAUUUGUGAUGCUUUACUCAUAUUUUUGAGGUUUAUCUUUCUUUUAUUUUAUGAUCAAGGCACAUUCUUUAUUUGUUCAUUCAGGGACAAAAAUACCCAGAGCAAAGAUGCUUCAUUUAUAGAAUUUGAGAAUCAGGUUUGAGUAUCUUUUUUUGUUGAAGCUAUUAUAUUACCUUGACUAGAGAAUAUCUCUAGUGGUUUCUCAAAUUUGAUUAUUGAAAAGUCAUUAGUAUUUUACUUGCUCUUCUGGCUUGCCUCUUAUUAACAUUCUGUAAUCUUGCUUGCGAAUUAUUGACAAUUACUAUACAGGAAUUGUGACUUCUAUUAGUCUUUCUGUUAAGAAAGAAAAAAGAGACAUUAUCUCA